ACCCCCUUGAGCUCUCUUUCUUCUAUAACGAUUAACAUAGACAAAUAUCAAUUUAAUUGUCUCAUGAUAUUUGAACAUAAGAAUGUAAGCUGAUUUUCAAUGCUUGAUUCUUUACUUUCUUAACUCAUAUUCAGGUUCUAGCUCAAAUCGUUUCAGCCUAUUUGCUGACAUAUCUCAGCACAGUCUCAUAAUUCCAGCUUAUUCAUGAAUAAUUCAGACUUGAUUUCGAGUAAUGGAUCAAUACUUCACUUUCAUCCCGCAUUCUAAGCUUAAACAACAAAAUUUCUCAUUCAUUUAUUGCAAUAAUUCAAGAUAAUUUCAAGUAAAUAGGCAGCAGCCCUCUAUAUUUCAGAUUAAGGCUUAGAAUUCUCAUGUUUAAUUCACCAAAGCAUCCAACUAAAUAUAAAUUUGCCAAAUCUCAAUUUAAACCUAGUUUGGGAAUUGAGUUCUUACCUUAAUUAACUGGAAUUCUGCUACUAAUCAGUGUUUUCUUCUUUUCUCUUCAAAAUUUAGCAACCCCCAUACUCUUCCAAGCCAAUUUUCCAUAAGACCUUUCUUCCUAGCUGAGUUCCUUCCAGGUUCUAUAUGAAAAUCUCCUUCUCUCCCUCUCUUUCUCCCCCUUUCUACGUUUUGAAUAGGCUAAGGAAUGAGUUUUGCAGGAAGAAAUCGGUGGAUAAAUCUCAAAAGGAAUAGUUUAAUGCCGGUGCUUGCUAGGUGUCAUCCCAUGAUAAAUCUACAUUUAAUGAGCUUUUUGAUGUGGCAUCCUGAGGAAUUUUUAGGCCUUUAAAUAUGAUAAGAGCUACUGAGUUAUUUCCCUCA
rnacentral:lncRNA from 1 species